UGACAGUUCCCAGAUAAUCUAUGACCCCAGGGAUCUUGGCUUCAGCAGAGUCAGUAUAUAUCUUAUUAAUAAGAUUCUUCUCAGAAAACUUUAGUGAUUCAACCUCCUCAGUGAUUCAACCUCCUCAGCAGAUAAGCAUGCCUUAAUUUUUCCUUUUACAAACUCCAACUCACGGAAUAAAGCGUUGAUUUUUUUCAUGUCCUUCUCCACCAAAUCUAAGAAAACUUGCUGUCGACGCUUUACAGGAAGUUCAGAAAGAACAUCCUUUUUAAGUCUGCGAAUCAUAACU
rnacentral:misc_RNA from 1 species